CUUAUCUAAAAAUAAUUUUAGUAAUCUAAAUCAUCCAUUUAAAAUGAAAUUUUGGCUAAUCAAACUAAAUAAAAAUAUUAAAUAAAAUAUUCUAUUUUCUUAUAAAACAAUAUUUAUAAAACUUUGCGUAAAUAAUUUUUGUAGUGUAAAAGUAAAAUAAAUUCAUACAUACAAUGGUACACACAGCCAGGUAUACAAAAUAUUCUACAAUGACAUGUGGGCCCCGAUAUAAUCGAAAAUAUGCAAGACUGUAGACCUUCGAUUUCUAAGGAUGCAGAUCCAAAAGCAAUCCUCGAUAAAAUCGACUGUCUACAGACUAUCCUCAGCCUAAAAUGGGUGAAAAGAAAGGGUGAGUUUUUAUAAACCCAGUGAGUAAGCAAAAUUCAUCUAUAACAUCUAAAGCCGAGUAAAUGGAGACAGUUAAAUCAUCCCAUCAUAAUAUAAUUCAUAACAUUCAAAACUCAUUUCAAUUCAUAUAAAACAAUUACAUUUCAAUCAAAAACAAUCAAUAAGGCUUAUGACUCUCUUAAAACUUGGCUCGUGUCAAAACUCGUACUUGAUGACACCUUGGCUCGGGCAUCCAACCGAGUCCGCCAAGGCUGUUAAAAUGAUAUAUACACAUAAAACAUGUUUUUACAUUUAAAAACGUAGUUGUUCCUUGGCGUUGGCUGAGUUUCACCCUCACGUGGUGGUUCAACGUGAAGUGAACUCUAAAUAUACCUUAGGAGAUACUUUCCGCGCCUCUCAUACUAAGGUAAAGUAUAACGGGGUUUACCGUGCCCCUCCAAUAGGUUGGUCCACAAAAGCCCGCCCACUGCAGUAAGCUAAUCAAUUAUCCCACCAAAUCAAUGAAAAUUUCGGCAAUAUGACAUGGCUAAUAUGAUAUUACCCAACCUGUGUCACGGCAAAACAAAACAGUUUAUAAAUUCCACACAAAACACAAAUCUAGCCAUUCAUGCCAUCACAUUGUCAUAAGCCACCAAAUCAACCAUAUAUCAAAACACGAGUAUAUAGUCUCCACUUACUCAAUUUCCAAAACUAGUAUUCAAUUUCAAAACAAGUUAUAAAACUCAUUUCAUUUAACCAACACUUCAAUUUAAAACAUAAUAAUUUACCAUUUAAACUCACUAUUCUUUAAAACAUAAAAACGAAUAGAAACAACUUUAGAUAGUUAAGAUGAAAUUUUGUUACUCACAAUAGCUGGAGUUUGGAGUACUCCUAUUCUUGGUCCUCAGGUACAAUAUCUUUACCCUUAUUAAAGGGCUCACCACCUAUACAUAACACACGACACGUAAUUCAAUAUAUUUGUGCCAAACUGUUAUAAAACUAUUUCAGGCUCUAUAUGAAUGCAUGAAAUUGAAUGAGAAUUGUUCGAAUAAUCACUUAAAUAUAGUGUUCUACGUGGGUUCAAUUAUGAUUGGACUGAAUUUGUAUUCGACCUAACUCGAACUAUACACUGUUAAAUCAACCAAAACAUCCGAUUCAACUCCAAAUAUAUUCAUUACACUUCCAAUACUCCAAUUACACCCAAAGUACCUCAAUGAACUUGAUUUUCUCAUUGUUGUUCAAAUCGUUUACUAAAAGAACCAUACGUUUUCAUAACUGUUUUCAAUAUCCGGCACCACAAUUCAUCAAAUAUGAGUUGAAUAACAUGAGAUAUAACAAGAUUCAUCAUCAAUAUGUCCUUUAGUAAAUUCGGCCAAGGAGGGUUUAAUGAAGAACAUGUGGUUUUCAUGCUUGUUUUUCACACCGAGUAUCACAAAACAACUAAAAACGCGUAUGUAGCAUGAAAUCUAACAAAACCCGUGAUCAAAACCUCUCCCCUUAAGUUCAGCCAGCAAACUUUCCUUCAUGAGAUCUGGAGUUUCAACUAUGGAAAAUGAAAAAGAGAGCAUGGGAAAGGUAGAUCUUAAGCUAAAAUUGAAAAAUUUUACCUUUGAUUGUUUUGUUCCUUGAAAUUCAAUAAAUUUCUCUUGGAUUUUCUUCUCUAGGGUUUGUUCUUAUUCUUUUCUCUUUGUUCUUUGCUUUGGCCGGC
rnacentral:lncRNA from 1 species